AACAGUGGCAAAGAGCAAUACAGAGAGUUGCCAAAAUUCACACCGCUGGUCCAGGUUUGAAGCAAGCAAUCUGUACCUGCAGUCCUUGUCUGUAACCAUGGCACCCUGGCUUCUCACACAUCUCAUCGUGGAGUUCCACCAUGUGUCAGGCAUGGCACUGAGCACCUUCUUUUAAGAAUAUAAUUUGUAAUUAUGUAGAUUCUUAAUUCUACUUCAAAAUGCCACACAGCCUUCAUGUGAUAAAAUGAAACAAUUGGUCAACUGAUCUCCUGGGAUCUCUACUAAGAUGUUGGCAGCCCGGUCAGCUGGUCUGGCCCUGGACGUGCCUUCAGGGUCUGGUUAUGCUUCAUGACCUGCAUUGUGGUCAGUGGUUCUCAGGUUUCUGCUCAAAAGUCACCUUUCGGAGGGGUCUCCACCUGUCACUGUGUUUUUAAGAGCUCCUUCGGUUUCUUUCUAGCUCAUCUCACUCUGGUAAUGUCUUUGAUUACCACCACCAUCUGACCUGGUCUUAUGAUCUGUUAGCUUCCUUCAUCAGAUGUGAGCACCAGGAUGGCAGGGGCCUCAUCUGUCCUGUUCCUCCUGUGGCCUGGGUCCUAGCACCAUGUCUGGCAUUUUGCAGACUUUGAUCACAGUGAAACGUUCCAUGGGAACUUGGGCCAUGAGAAACAUCCUUCCUAACCACGUGACUGCAGAAACAUCCUUAUCACAUCCUCCUGGGCAAAGGCCCAACAGCCUGACUGCAGGGACAUCCUUGCCAUAUCCUGCUGGGCAGCAAGCU
rnacentral:lncRNA from 1 species